UACGUAGGGACCAAGCGUUGUUCGGAUUUACUGGGCGUAAAGGGUGUGUAGGUGGCACUGUUAGUCGUUUGUUAAAUCUCCCGGCCCAACCGGGAACCUGCAAACGAAACGGCAGAGCUAGAGGGUGUGAGGGGUCUGUGGAACUCAUGGAGUAGGGGUAAAAUCCGUUGAUAUCAUGGGGAACACCAAAAGCGAAGGCAGCAGACUGGCGCAUUCCUGACACUGAAACACGAAAGCGUAGGUAGCGAAUGGG
rnacentral:rRNA from 1 species